GCCCUGGUGGUGAAAUGGUCUGCCGACGGCAACAGCAGACACGCCUGAUUCAAAAUCAGGUGCCGAUAGGCUUGCCGGUUCAAGUCCGGCCCGGGGUA
rnacentral:tRNA from 1 species